GCGGCAGCACAGCUUCCGCGGCCCGCUGUCCCCGCCGCCGCCGUCGUCGUCCAACCCGUCGGAGCGCGCCUGGCAGCAGCAGCAGCCACACCCGCAGCGCCAGAACGAGCCCGACCUCCCGGAGCCGGCGAGGACGACCACCUCGUCCCUGCCGGACGACGUGUCCAUCAGCAACGCCAGCGAGCUGGAGGUGACGGAGUGGGUGAUCCAGGACGAGCCCGGCGUGUACAUCACCGUCCGCGAGCUCGCCGACGGCGCCCGCGAGCUCCGGCGCGUCCGCUUCAGCCGUGAGAAGUUUGCGGAGCUGAACGCCAAGCUGUGGUGGGAGGAGAACAAGGAGAGGAUACACGCGCAGUACCUCUGAAUCUUCUCCAUUGGUAAAAGUUAAAACUGGGAUACUUUCACUCUGAAGCUUCAAGCUUUGUGAUGCAAGGGAGGGGGAAAGAUUAAUAGUAUCUGAUACUACUACUGGCACUUAAUUACAAGUAUAUAUGGAGUUAGUUUGUGUUUGGGGUUGGAACUGGGAGAGAGAGAGAGAGAGAGAGAGAGAGAGAGAGAGAGAGAGAGAGAGAGAGAGAGGAGGGGGAGAGGGGAAAGAGAAAUGUUUAUUUAGGGUUUAAUUAGGGCAGUGCCAUGAUGCCCAGCCCAUGUGACCUGUGAUGGACUGUCACUGCAUGAAUGCAGGUGUACCAUGUUCAUGUUGAGAACCUGUCACAAUGCUUGACUUGAGCAUGCUUAA